UUUACUUUCCCAUCGUGUGAAGACGCUGAUGCUUUGUUCUGUUUCGUGCCAAUCUGUGCAGAGCCUCUUGCCAGAUUUCUAAUGACUUUUCAAUGAUGAUUUAAGGAGGAUUUGAGACGCUUUUCUUGGAUCGUGAAUGCGCCGAUCAGCCGCUGCUCAGCAUCUUUUAUUAAAUGAGUUUCUUGAAGAAACAUUAUAUCAGCUUUGAGUGAUUUUAAGUGUGCUAAUACUUUACCUCUCUUGAUUGAUUCAUUAAUACCCUUGACGUUCCAACUACAAAAUGUAAUUCCUUCACCCCCAAUUUUCAUAUUAACAUCUUGCAUCUUAUGGGUAGGGUGGUCUAUAAAAGAGCAAAUGGUUCAACACACUAAACCCGACAUUCCACCCGAACACAGGAUAGAUGAAUUUUAGAUUUAAUAAGUCUUCAUCCCGAACAUAUCUCCUU